rnacentral:pre_miRNA from 1 species
UUUGUGGGGAAUGUUGUCUGGCUCGAGGAAAUCUUCAAUCUUGAUUAAUUUUAAUUUUUUUUAACAUGUUUUUUAAUAGUAAUUACUAUGUUGUUACAUAGAUCUAUACAAUAUUUAUGAUAGAUCUACGAAUUUUUUAUCAUAUUGUUUGAGUAUCGUCGGACCAGGCUUCAUUCCCCUCAAA